GCUGGGGGGCGCACGGCGGCGGGCGGCGGCCGGGGGCAGGGAGGCUGGGGCGGCGCCGGCCUCGCGCCUCCCCCGUCGGCGGCCCCGUGGAGCGGCAGUGGUACAGUCCGAGACGUCCCCCGGCUAUAAAUAGCGCCAGGCGCAUGGCUCUUUGGGAGGCGCUGAGAUUCCGGGCCCCGCAGCCGCGGGCAGCGGGUGCCUGUUAGCUACCGGGGCUCUCGGUCUCUUCUUUUUUUGCCUUUUUGGCGUUAUUAUCAUUAUUAUUAUUAUUAUUUUGGUAAUAGCAGCAGGUGCAGCCUUUUGUAUUUUCAAAGCAUUGAUUUUCAUUUUCGUGUGGGCAGGUAGGGGGGCGUUAUCCACUUAGCUGCGCUCUGUUAGGGCGACAGGCGGGCUAAGCGAAGGCAGGGAGGGCGGGCGGGGCGGCGGCGCAGGCGGCGGUGGAGGUGGAAUGGGAGCUUUUCUCUCCCAUCUGGCUCCAUUUAUUUAUUUAUUUAGACUAGAAAAAGCCAACCGGCUUGGAGGGAGUCCGCCCAGAUAUCUGAAUGUCCAUUGAUCACUGUCGAGAGAAAGAAAAAGCUACAUAAAUGUAUAUUAUGUGGAUAGAUCUAUAGUCAGGAGCUCUAGCGCGCGCUCUUUCUGUAUCUCGCUCCCUUUCUCCUUCUCUAAUUCCUGACCUGCCAGAGCAGAUCCCAAAUUUCUCCUUCCUAUUCUGCAUCCACAGACACUGGAUCCACCUGAGAGCAUUGGGCUAGGAGCGCAGCUCAGGCUGCGUCAGAGUCUCAGGGAGUAGAAUUCGGCUCGGUUCUCCGCCCCAGCCCUCUGAGAAGGCGGGAGGGGAAUGUUUCAGUCCCGUCCGGAGAGCGGCAGUCAGUGCAGCCGGUGGCUGGAGGGAGGAAGGAAAUGAAGCCACCACUCCUCCGCCCCCCAUCCCAUUCGCCAACCCAGCUGCAGCCGGCGGUAGACUGGCGCGGCUUGUGCUGCCCCGCAAUACCAGAUCCAGAGGUGCGAAGCUGGAGUCUGGCUGCCCCAUCGCCCGGCGCGGAACUCCAGCUGGGCCCGCGGGGCUAGAGCCUCAGCUGCGCGAGAGAGGGAGUGGCAGGCGCAAGAGCUGUCCCGCCCCUGGGGGCGAAUAGUGGUAGUGAACUUGGCUAGGGCAGCCGAUUUUCAUUCUCAGCGUGUUUACCUGCACCCCCAUCCUCUCCAACGUUUGCUUUUCUAGGCUUCAGAAACCCGGCCAAUUAAAAUAACGCCCCAUACUCCCUGAGGCUGCAGAGCUCGAAGCUGGGACAGCAGGCGGAGCUGCUAGGCUACCCGCCACCCCCUCUCUCCCUCCCCCUCCACCCCCGGCCUCCGCUGGCCACUUUCCGGUUUUGGUUUUCAGGGUUUUCUGUUCAUAACCCUGAAUUACAUUACUAGACGUUGUGUUUAAAUUUUAUUUUAAAGAAGCGCUACCCUAACAGCCUGAGAAAAACAAAAAACAAAAACAAAAUCCACUCUCCCCCCUCCAAAACAAAACAAAACAAACAAACAAAAAAACCAGACAAGCUUUUGCUACUACCAGAAGGCUGUACACUCCAGAGGCAGAUUUGAUCAGAGGGCCCAGAGAUUCUCAGCCUUGAGGUUGACAGUCUCAGGUACAAAGCUGACUCCAGGCACUCCCUUCUGAGGAUGGGGGGUGGGGUGGGAUCCCGAACCCAACAGAAGAACCAUUCUGAGAAGAGAAGAGCUUUGUUCAUUUAAAAAAAUGUCCUGUCUUUGCUUUUUAAAGCUGUGUGUGAGUUUCCUAGGUGUCUAGUUUCUCGUCUUAGAGACUGGUCUAAGAAUCGCUGAAGUUGGUGAAAUGAAGAACCUCAUCUGCAGAGGAGAUCUGCGUCUGUGUGUUUUGUGUGCCUCUGAGAUGCUAUGAUAAUGUGGGGAUGUCUCUGGUAAGCAAGCUGGAGUGUUAGUGUGUGACAGGUGUGUGCAAACGUCUUGUUAGUACGGUGUGCUAGUUGUACUCCCCCCGACCCCCCCUCCCCCGUGUACUGAUCAGGAUAUCCCAGGACAUAUAUGAACAGAAGAUAAUGACUAUUCAUAUUCACCAUCCAACAGCAUCUUGCUGUGCUUGGAUUUCAGGAUCUCAUUGUGGAGUGGACUAUAUUUUCUUCCAUAACAGGAGAAUUAAUGAAAAUAAUUUCUACUUGA